UACGGAGGGUGCAAGCGUUACUCGGAAUCACUGGGCGUAAAGCGCGCGCAGGCGGCCUUUUAAGUUGGAUGUGAAAGCCUACGGCUUAACCGUAGAACUGCAUCCAAAACUACUAGGCUAGAGUGUGGGAGAGGAAGAUGGAAUUAGUUGUGUAGGGGUAAAAUCCGUAGAGAUAACUAGGAAUACCAAAAGCGAAGGCAAUCUUCUGGAACACUACUGACGCUGAGGCGCGAAAGCGUGGGGAGCAAACAGGAUUAGAUACCCUGGUAGUCCACGCCCUAAACGAUGAAUGUUAGUCGUCGGGUAGCUAGUCUAUUCGGUGAUGCAGCUAACGCAUUAAACAUUCCGCCUGGGGAGUACGGUCGCAAGAUUAAAACUCAAAGGAAUAGACGGGGACCCGCACAAGUGGUGGAGCAUGUGGUUUAAUUCGAAGAUACGCGAAGAACCUUACCUAGCCUUGACAUAUAUUAGAACACUUUAGAGAUAGAGUGGUGCCUUCGGGAGCUUUUAUACAGGUGCUGCACGGCUGUCGUCAGCUCGUGUCGUGAGAUGUUGGGUUAAGUCCCGCAACGAGCGCAACCCUCGUCACUAGUUACUAACGGUUCGGCCGAGGACUCUAGUGAGACUGCCUUCGCAAGGAGGAGGAAGGUGAGGACGACGUCAAGUCAUCAUGGCCCUUACGGCUAGGGCAACACACGUGCUACAAUGGCCAGGACAAUGAGACGCAAUACCGCGAGGUGGAGCAAAUCUAUAAACCUGGUCUCAGUUCGGAUUGUAGUCUGCAACUCGACUACAUGAAGCUGGAAUCACUAGUAAUCGUAGAUCAGCUAUGCUACGGUGAAUACGUUCCCGGGUCU
rnacentral:rRNA from 1 species